AAAAGGUGGGGGGGAAAUAUUUGGGGUCGGGGGGAAAAGCAUAGAUUAUCACAAAGAAAUCCCAAUUGGGGAGGGCAGCUCCAUGGGGGUGUAACUGACGGUAAUGCCCGAAGGGGGGGGUUUCAAACCGGAUUGGAUACCCCGGUGUUCCACACAGUAAAUCAAUGAUACUUGCUGUUUGCGAUACACAGAAAGCGGCUAAGCGAAAGCAUUAAGUAUUCCACCUGGGGAGUACGUGGGCAACGAUGAAACUCAAAGGAAUUGACGGGGGCCCGCACAAGCGGAGGAACAUGUGGUUUAAUUUGAUGAUACGCGAGGAACCUUACCUGGGCUUGAAUCGCAACUGAUAGCUUUUGAAAGAGAGUUUUUCUUCGGAACAGUUGUGAAGGUGCUGCAUGGUUGUCGUCAGCUCGUGCCGUGAGGUGUCGGCUUAAGUGCCAUAACGAGCGCAACCCUUAUUGCUAGUUGCUAACAGGUCAUGCUGAGGACUCUAGUGAGACUGCCGUCGUAAGAUGUGAGGAAGGAGGGGAUGACGUCAAAUCAGCACGGCCCUUAUGUCCAGGGCGACACACGUGUUACAAUGGGAGGAUCAACGGGCAGCUACCUAGCGAUAGGAUGCUAAUCUCUAAACCCUCUCUCAGUUCGGAUUGAAGUCUGCAAUUCGACUUCACGAAGCUGGAUUCGCUAGUAAUCGCGCAUCAGCCACGGCGCGGUGAAUACGUUCCCGGGCCUUGUACACACCGCCCGUCAAG
rnacentral:rRNA from 1 species